GUCCAGACUCCUACGGGAGGCAGCAGUGGGGAAUAUUGGGCAAUGGGCGAAAGCCUGACCCAGCAACGCCGCGUGAAGGAAGAAGGCUUUCGGGUUGUAAACUUCUUUUGACAGGGAAGAGCAGAAGACGGUACCUGUCGAAUAAGCCACGGCUAACUACGUGCCAGCAGCCGCGGUAAUACGUAGGUGGCAAGCGUUGUCCGGAUUUACUGGGUGUAAAGGGCGUGCAGCCGGGAAGACAAGUCAGAUGUGAAAUCCCGCGGCUCAACCGCGGAACUGCAUUUGAAACUGUUUUUCUUGAGUACCGGAGAGGUCAUCGGAAUUCCUAGUGUAGCGGUGAAAUGCGUAGAUAUUAGGAAGAACACCAGUGGCGAAGGCGGCUUUCUGGACUGAAACUGACGCUGAGGCGCGAAAGCGUGGGGAGCAAACAGGAUUAGAUACCCCAGUACA
rnacentral:rRNA from 1 species